rnacentral:lncRNA from 1 species
UUCCCCACAUUCCCCCUCAUUUUUCCCCAUUUUUUCCCUGCAUUCCCCCUCAAUUUUCCCCAUUUUUUCCCCACAUUUCCCCUCAAUUUUCCCCAUUUUUUCCCUACAUUUCCCCUCUCCCAACCCCCCAAAAUUCCCAUUUUCCCAGCUCUCUCCACGCUGCUGCUGCUGCCCACGGGCUCGGCUCAAUCCCUCUGUUCCCAACUCCCUGCCUUCCUCUACCACCGCCGCUCGCGCUGCAUCUCCAUCGUCGUCUCCCCCCUCAUCUCCCUCAUGGACGACCAGGCCUUCCCUCAGCGCUCACAGGCGUCUGCAUCCACUCCAACCUCACCCCAGCGCAGCGCGAGGCCGCCAUCCAAAAAGUGAGGAAAAAUUCUUUUUACCAAAUUUCCCUUCGCUUUUUCCUGCUCAUUUUUUUAUUUUUCCCCUCAGUUUUUUCCACUCUUUUCUCUUCAGUUUUUCCUGCCCUUUUCCCCACAUUUCCCUUCACUUUUUCCAGCCCAUUUUUUCACUUUUCCUCUGUUUUUCCCACCUUUUCCCCACUCUUUUCCUCUCAGUUUUUCUCUGUUUUCUCCACCCUUUUCUCCCAUGUUUCCCUUCACUUUUUCCCCCCAUUUUCCCACUUUUCCCCUCAGUUUUUCCCACUCUUUUCCCUUCAGCUUUUCCCACCCUUUUCCCACAUUUUCCCUCAGUUUUCCCACCCUUUUCCCCUCAGUUUUCCCUGGUUUUCCCACUCCUUCCCCCGCAUUUCCCCUCAGGUUUUCCCACUCUUUUCCUACCCUUUUUCCCGCAUUUCCCCUCAUUUUUUCCUGCCCUUUCCCCUCAGUUUUCCCUGGUUUUCCCACCAUUUUCCCCACAUUUCCCCUCAGGUUUUCCCAUUUUUUUCCCUUCAGUUUUUCCCACUCUUUCCCUUCCCUUUUCCCCUCAAGUUUUCCCCAUUUCCCCCAGGUGAGGAGCGGCCAGGCCCAGCUCCUGCUG